CCUUUGGAGGGUUUGAUCCUGGCUCAGAGUGAACGCUGGCGGCGUGGAUUAGGCAUGCAAGUCGAGCGAUCGAGAUUUUGAAGCAAUUGAAGUCUUCGGACUGAUUUUGUGGAUUUAUCUUAGAUAGCGGCAAACGGGUGAGUAACACGUGGGUAAUCUACCCUAGAGAGGAGGAUAGCUUCGAGAAAUCGGAGGUAAUACUCUAUACAGUUUCGGCAUUAAUUUGUUGAAAUAAAAGAUGGCUUAGGACUUCGGUCCGCUGUCACUUUAGGAGGGGCCCGCGGCCUAUCAGGUAGUUGGUGGGGUAAUAGCCUACCAAGCCAGAGACGGGUAGCUGGCAUUAGCGUGUGGUCAGCCACAUCGGGACUGAGACACUGCCCGGACUCCUACGGGAGGCUGCAGUCGAGAAUCUUUCCCAAUGGGCGAAAGCCUGAGGAUGCGAC
rnacentral:rRNA from 1 species